UAAGAAGGAGCAGUUCAACCGCAUGUGGGAAGAAUGGGUUUUGAUGUUUUCAAUUCGUGGGGUCCACUAAGGAGCUUGAUGUGGUCUUGUAAGCAUUUACAUAUAUAUAUUGCAUCUGCCUUGAGAUAAGAAGAAUGUGUGUUGUUAGUCGAAAAUUUAGAGAAAAAGAAAGAAAAGAAAAAGGGAAAAAGAAGAAAGAAAGGAAAAAGUAAUGAUUAGUGGGGCCCACGAAAUUGUUUUUGUGGCCAUAAAUUCUUUGAACUUAGUCCUUCACGUGCGGGGUUGUCUGAUGGGCUUGAAAUGAGUGUAUUGCUUCAUUCAUGUGGGUUUUGUUGGCUGACAUUUUGUUUGAGUGGUGAGUGUUUUUGUUGGGUGUCAGUGGAAUUGUCUUUAUAAAGAGACUGUUUUGCAACUUUGGUAAUGAUACAAGCAGAAAGAAAAAUGGAGGAAAACAUAGUUAGCUGAGAGAGACACAAAGAAAUGAGAGUUGCAGAGAGAAGCCGCGAGGUUGCCGAGGAGGCUAGAAGCUUGAGGCUUUGAUGAUCUAGUGAGGAAAAUUCUUUUUUUCAAGGAUACGGAAAGGAAGUGGCGGACGACGCUCCUCUAUAGGUUUUAACGGGUUAGUGGACUGUUUGACAUAUUUUGUAGCUAUGAUCUCAUUUUAUUAUUAUUAUUAUUAUUAUUUUUAUAAA